rnacentral:rRNA from 1 species
AGAGUUUGAUCCUGGCUCAGGAUGAACGCUAGCGGCAGGCCUAAUACAUGCAAGUCGAACGAGAUUUUUCUCUGUAGCAAUACAGAGAAAAGUCUAGUGGCGAACGGGUGCGUAACACGUGAGCAACCUGCCGUGAAGUGGGGGAUAGCUCGCCGAAAGGCGAAUUAAUACCGCAUGUGGCCAAGAAGGACAUCCUUCUGACGCCAAAGCCGGGGCAACCUGGCGCUUCUCGAGGGGCUCGCGGCCUAUCAGCUUGUUGGUGAGGUAACGGCUCACCAAGGCUAUGACGGGUAGCUGGUCUGAGAGGACGACCAGCCACACUGGAACUGAGACACGGUCCAGACACCUACGGGUGGCAGCAGUCGAGAAUUUUUCACAAUGGGGGAAACCCUGAUGGAGCGACGCCGCGUGGAGGAUGGAGGUUUUCGGAUUGUAAACUCCUGUCAUUAGAGAACAAGGCACACGGUUUAACUGGCCGUGUGUUGAUAGUAUCUGAAGAGGAAGAGACGGCUAACUCUGUGCCAGCAGCCGCGGUAAUACAGAGGUCUCAAGCGUUGUUCGGAUUCAUUGGGCGUAAAGGGUGCGUAGGUGGCGAUGUAAGUCGGGUGUGAAAUCUCCAAGCUUAACUUGGAAACUGCACUCGAUACUGCGUCGCUCGAGGACUGUAGAGGGCAUUGGAAUUCACGGUGUAGCAGUGAAAUGCGUAGAUAUCGUGAGGAAGACCAGUGGCGAAGGCGAAUGCCUGGGCAGUUCCUGACACUGAGGCACGAAGGCCAGGGGAGCAAACGGGAUUAGAUACCCCGGUAGUCCUGGCAGUAAACGGUGCACGUUUGGUGUGGGAGGAUUCGACCCCUUCCGUGCCGGAGCUAACGCGUUAAACGUGCCGCCUGGGGAGUACGGUCGCAAGAUUAAAACUCAAAGAAAUUGACGGGGACCCGCACAAGCGGAGCAUGCGGCUUAAUUCGACGCAACGCGAAGAACCUUACCAAGGCUUGACAUAUAGCGAAAAGUGGCAGAGAUGUCAUGUCCGCAAGGGCGCUAUACAGGUGGUGCAUGGUUGUCGUCAGCUCGUGUCGUGAGAUGUUGGGUUAAGUCCCGCAACGAGCGCAACCCUCGUUCUGUGUUACCAGCAUUCAGUUGGGGACUCACAGGAGACUGCCGGGGUCAACUCGGAGGAAGGUGGGGAUGACGUCAAAUCAUCAUGCCCCUUAUGUCUUGGGCUGCACGCAUGCUACAAUGGCCGGUACAAAGUGCUGCGAGAUCGCAAGAUUGAGCGAAUCACAUAAAGCCGGUCUCAGUUCGGAUUGAGGUCUGCAACUCGACCUCAUGAAGUCGGAGUUGCUAGUAAUCGUAGAUCAGCAACGCUACGGUGAAUACGUUCCCGGGGCUUGUACACACCGCCCGUCACGUCACGAAAGUCGGUAACACCCAAAGUUAGUGGCCCAACCGCAAGGGGGGAGCUACCUAAGGUGGGAUCGGUGAUUGGGACGAAGUCGUAACAAGGUAACC